UAAACGAUACAUGUUUAUAUAAGUGCUU
rnacentral:sRNA from 1 species